UCCUGCUCCUGCGGUGGAGGAGCUGCCGUCGACCCCCGUGCAUCCGCGGCUCCAUUCCCUGGAUCGGAGCUGGGCUGGAGUUUGGAAAGGCACCCCUAGAAUUUAUAGAGAAGGCCAGAAUCAAGUACGGACCAAUAUUUACAGUCUUUGCUAUGGGAAACCGAAUGACAUUUGUUACUGAAGAAGAAGGAAUCGAUGUGUUUCUAAAAUCCAGACAUGUCGAUUUUGAACUAGCCGUCCAAAAUCCCGUCUACUAUACAGCAUCAAUUCCAAAGAAGCUCUUUUUCACACUUCAUGAAAAACUGUAUGUUAUGAUGAAAGGAAAAAUGGGUCCUUUGAGCAUCUGUCAGUUUACUGGGCAACUGACUGAGGCAUUACACGAGCAACUGGAAAAUUUAGGCUCUCAUGGGAUGAUGGAUCUGAACCACUUAGUAAGGCGUCUCCUCUAUCCAGCCACCAUGAGCACGCUCUUUAAGAAAGGUUUGUUUCUCACAAAUGAAAGGAAAAUCCAGGAGUUCUACCAGCAUUUUCAAACUUAUGAUGAGGGAUUUGAGUAUGGAUCCCAGCUUCCAGAGUGGUUCCUAAGAAACUGGUCAAAAUCCAAAAGGUGGCUCUUAGCAUUGUUAGAGACAAAUAUUCCAGAAAUAAAAGCACAUAGAUCUGCAAAAGAUAAUUCUGCAACACUCAUGCAGGCAUUGCUGGAUAUCGUAGAGAAGGAAACAGACAAGCAAAGACCCAAUUAUGGGCUGUUACUGCUUUGGGCUUCUCUAUCUAAUGCUGCUCCUAUUGCAUUCUGGACACUCGCAUUUGUCCUGUCUCAUCCUGAUGUCCACAGGGCCAUUUUAGAAGGCAUGUCGUCUGUGUUCGGCACAGCAGGUAAAGAUAAGAUAAAAGUGUCUGAGGAUGACUUGAAGAAACUCCUUCUCAUUAAGUGGUGCAUUUUGGAAGCCAUUCGUUUACGAGCUCCUGGGGUCAUUACCAGAAAAGUAGUGAAGCCAGUUAAAAUUUUGAAUUACACAGUUCCUUCUGGCGACUUGUUGAUGUUGUCUCCAUUCUGGCUACACAGAAAUCCGAAGUAUUUUCCUGAACCUGACUCGUUCAAACCUGAACGCUGGAAAAAGGCAAAUUUAGAGAAGCAUGCUUUCUUGGACUGCUUCAUGGCAUUUGGCGGUGGGAAGUUCCAGUGUCCUGGCAGGUGGUUUGCUCUGCUAGAGAUUCAAAUAUGUAUUAUCUUAAUACUUUAUAAAUACGAUUGCAGACUUCUGGACCCAUUACCAAAACAGAGCUGUCUCCAUCUGGUGGGUGUCCCUCAACCAGAAGGGCAAUGCCAAAUCGAGUAUAAGCAAAGGGUGUGACGCCUGCUAUGUCUGAAGAGGACCAGAGCCUUCUGCAGGAGUGACAUUGUCCCCCCCUCCACCCUGAAAGCUCCUCACCCCGGAGCUGCCCAAACGGCCCCUGCGUUCAUUCCCUCCAGGAUCAAGUGCGUCACAUCAUCGCUCUCCCUGCCAGAGAAACCCAAACAUCCAGUGACAGCGUCGUCGUCUCUGCACAGAACAAUCAACCUCUGCUUACUGAGUUGAUUCUUAUUUUCAUCAAGGUGGAAGUGCUUUUUUGACUCAAAGUGUUUUCAGUUAUAGUUCCGCAAAGAUGCUAGUUUUGCUGACAUGUAGAACACACAUCGAAUGCUAUGUCCAGAAAAAUAACUGCACUUGGAAUCUAUUACACAGCUCUUACCACUGUGGAAUCCGCUGCAUGAAAUCCUGGAAGAAAACAUUCCAUUCAGGGAAACACGGCACCAGUAAUAGUGAACGCAGUCAUGCCCAGUAUCCAAAGAAUUCUUGAAGGAAGUUUUGGGGCCCAUCGUCCCCUGGGUUUAGCUGCUUCUCUAUCCUAACAUCAUCCCAUGGAGCUGGUAAUGAUUGCUUAGUCAUUCCUCUGUGUACAAGCACACAGCUUCCUAGGAGAAAACGGUCCUUCCAUCUCACAGGCCCAUUUGGUGGCUGCGAAGCUUAGCUCGCAGCUCACCUUGGCUUCGCCAACUUGGGGGUCAGGACUGGGUCUGCAGAGGCUGCAGAUGGCAAAGGGGAAAGUCUGCAGCCACACUGACAGCUGCCACCACCUCUAGGCAGGUUCUACCAAAGAGACGGCUGUGUUCCGAGGGGAGGCCUGUCCCCCAGAUGGCUAGGCCCAUGGUGAAGCCUCGUGUUUGCACAGGAUAGCUGCUUGAAUUAAGUUGCAUGUGCUCAGAGAAAAUAUUUGUUUAUUCUUGCUUAGUAAUGGCAAAUGUUACCAGACAAGUCUAUGCAGUUUCAGAUCGACUGGGUGUAAGGAGGUCAGUUCACAUGCGCAGUCAUGACUAGCUCAUGGGUGUAAGGAGGUCAGUUCACAUGCGUAGUCAUGACUAGCUCAUGCUUGGAGCUGCCCUGUCUACUUCCUUAAGUUUUACAUCACAUAUAAGAUGAUAGCCUCCCAUGGGAACUGAAUUUUUCUGAAAGCAGAGUCUGAGACAGAUUGGUGUACAGAGGUAAGGGAGUGAAGAAGCCUCAGGAUGACAUUAGUGAGGUGUUGUGGCAUCAGAGCGUAGGCUGGGACUGCCUGAGGAGACUCCCCAGGCACUGUCCACCUGAGGGACAAGAGGUGGGAGUGGCCACUGGAGUGCACUGAUUGAUGAGCAAGCGUUCUUGGAGAUGUUAACCUGCACGUCCAAGCCGCUUCCGUGUGGGCAUUCAGCCCAUUUGUCGUCAGAGAAGCCUUGGCACACUUGGCAUGAGGUGAGCCUGAGCCCCUGUGGAUUUGUUGCCUUCUGUGAGCUGAAGCUGGGCUGAGGGAUACGAUCUGGGGGCCACCGGGAAUAUGGGAUGUACCCCACUCCGUGCUCCACCCAGGUCUCCCCCUGCUGCCCUCUGUCAGCUCCGGCUAUACCUUCUUUAGGUGCUGGCUACCCACUAAAGACCAGUUCACUUUGGCUAACGCUGCCUUUGCACACGUUUUCGGUUGUGCUGACAGGUCUGCACACUCACAGUGAGCUAGAGAACUGCGACCCACCUUGGGGCAUAAACUGACUGUAAUGUGCUCUUGUAGCAUUUAGCUGAGUUGUAGCCAAUCACACGUGGCCGAACGUUCAAACCAUGUCCAGAUCAGACAGGUGCGGGCCAGUCAGGCUCCGCACCUCAUUCUGUUUUCUGUCCAUCACUUUCUUUUAUCAAAAAUAUUUUCAUUUAUUUAUUUGCAAGCAGAGAGUGAUAAAAGAGACAGAGUGGGCGCACCAGGGCCUCUAGCUGCUGCUGACAAACUCCAGAUGCAUGGGCCACUUUGUGCAU